GACGAACGCUGGCGGCGUGCUUAACACAUGCAAGUCGAACGGAAAGGCCCUGCUUUUGUGGGGUGCUCGAGUGGCGAACGGGUGAGUAACACGUGAGUAACCUGCCCUUGACUUUGGGAUAACUUCAGGAAACUGGGGCUAAUACCGGAUAGGAGCUCCUGCUGCAUGGUGGGGGUUGGAAAGUUUCGGCGGUUGGGGAUGGACUCGCGGCUUAUCAGCUUGUUGGUGGGGUAGUGGCUUACCAAGGCUUUGACGGGUAGCCGGCCUGAGAGGGUGACCGGCCACAUUGGGACUGAGAUACGGCCCAGACUCCUACGGGAGGCAGCAGUGGGGAAUAUUGCACAAUGGGCGGAAGCCUGAUGCAGCAACGCCGCGUGCGGGAUGACGGCCUUCGGGUUGUAAACCGCUUUCGCCUGUGACGAAGCGUGAGUGACGGUAAUGGGUAAAGAAGCACCGGCUAACUACGUGCCAGCAGCCGCGGUGAUACGUAGGGUGCGAGCGUUGUCCGGAUUUAUUGGGCGUAAAGGGCUCGUAGGUGGUUGAUCGCGUCGGAAGUGUAAUCUUGGGGCUUAACCCUGAGCGUGCCUUCGAUACGGGUUGACUUGAGGAAGGUAGGGGAGAAUGGAAUUCCUGGUGGAGCGGUGGAAUGCGCAGAUAUCAGGAGGAACACCAGUGGCGAAGGCGGUUCUCUGGGCCUUUCCUGACGCUGAGGAGCGAAAGCGUGGGGAGCGAACAGGCUUAGAUACCCUGGUAGUCCACGCUGUAAACGGUGGGUACUAGGUGUGGGGUCCAUUCCACGGGUUCCGUGCCGUAGCUAACGCUUUAAGUACCCCGCCUGGGGAGUACGGCCGCAAGGCUAAAACUCAAAGGAAUUGACGGGGCCCCGCACAAGCGGCGGAGCAUGCGGAUUAAUUCGAUGCAACGCGUAGAACCUUACCUGGGUUUGACAUGGAUCGGGAGUGCUCAGAGAUGGGUGUGCCUCUUUUGGGGUCGGUUCACAGGUGGUGCAUGGCUGUCGUCAGCUCGUGUCGUGAGAUGUUGGGUUAAGUCCCGCAACGAGCGCAACCCUUGUUCACUGUUGCCAGCACGUUAUGGUGGGGACUCAGUGGAGACCGCCGGGGUCAACUCGGAGGAAGGUGGGGAUGACGUCAAGUCAUCAUGCCCCUUAUGUCCAGGGCUUCACGCAUGCUACAAUGGCUGGUACAGAGAGUGGCGAGCCUGUGAGGGUGAGCGAAUCUCGGAAAGCCGGUCUCAGUUCGGAUUGGGGUCUGCAACUCGACCUCAUGAAGUCGGAGUCGCUAGUAACCGCAGAUCAGCAACGCUGCGGUGAAUACGUUCCCGGG
rnacentral:rRNA from 1 species